AAGAUGUAGACUUUCGGGCUUGA
rnacentral:siRNA from 1 species